UCCCCUAUUGGCAUAGAAACAGCACAGAAGAAUGUUGACGGAGGCCAGAGAACCGUGAAACACGUGGGAGGAUCUAAAUGGAGAACAUAUUUCCGGUUGGGACUCGGAGCGGCUCUCGUCUGCCUUUCUGUUGGUGUAACUCUCGUGAUCAUUUAUACAGUGUAUGCCGAGGUGGACUACUGGCAAGAAGACCAAAGUGAACCGUUUAAUAGGAACUCAGGGACGUUUGAUACGUUCUCCUCGACCCUGGACAUCCGGACACGAGUUACAGCAACAUUGACUACUAAUGCUGAACAAGGCUCUAUCGUUCUUCGCCUCAGUCCAGCUAAUGGCAAUCCGUCGGAUUUUAGUUACGUCAUACUGGAUGGAAUUCUGUAUCCAUUUCGUGUGAACAAACGUGGUGUCGUAUCAGUUGCCGGCAUAUUGAAAGCAAAGAGAUACAAGUUUGUCGUGAGAGUUACUGAUCCCUGGACGGAUCGCUUUG